rnacentral:rRNA from 1 species
AACGAACGCUGGCGGCAUGCCUAACACAUGCAAGUCGAACGAGACCUUCGGGUCUAGUGGCGCACGGGUGCGUAACGCGUGGGAACCUGCCCUUAGGUUCGGAAUAACUCCCCGAAAGGGGUGCUAAUACCGGAUAAUGUCUUCGGACCAAAGAUUUAUCGCCUUUGGAUGGGCCCGCGUUGGAUUAGCUAGUUGGUAGGGUAAAAGCCUACCAAGGCGACGAUCCAUAGCUGGUCUGAGAGGAUGAUCAGCCACACUGGGACUGAGACACGGCCCAGACUCCUACGGGAGGAAGCAGUGGGGAAUAUUGGACAAUGGGGGAAAGCCUGAUCCAGCAAUGCCGCGUGAGUGAUGAAGGCCUUAGGGUUGUAAAGCUCUUUUACCCGGGAUGAUAAUGACAGUACCGGGAGAAUAAGCUCCGGCUAACUCCGUG